rnacentral:rRNA from 1 species
GAUGAACGCUAGCGGCAGGCUUAAUACAUGCAAGUCGAGGGGCAGCAUGGUGUAGCAAUACACUGAUGGCGACCGGCAAACGGGUGCGGAACACGUACAGAACCUUCCUUCGAGCGGGGAAUAGCCCAGAGAAAUUUGGAUUAAUACCCCAUAGUAUAUUGAAAAGGCAUCUUUUUAAUAUUAAAGAUUUAUCACUUGAAGAUGGCUGUGCGGCUGAUUAGGUAGUUGGCGGGGUAACGGCCCACCAAGCCUGCGAUCAGUAACUGGUGUGAGAGCACGACCAGUCACACGGGCACUGAGCCACGGGCCCGACUCCUACGGGAGGCAGCAGUAAGGAAUAUUGGUCAAUGGACGAAAGUCUGAACCAGCCAUGCCGCGUGGAGGAUGAAGGUCCUCUGGAUUGUAAACUUCUUUUAUAUGGGACGAAAAAAGGCUUUUCUAAGUCGUCUGACGGUACCAUAUGAAUAAGCACCGGCUAACUCCGUGCCAGCCGCCGCAGUAACAC